rnacentral:lncRNA from 13 species
GGGGAAGAAAUGAUCUCCACACAAAUCCUAAUUUCCAAACACCUAAAGAUUUGUUUGGUUUUGUG